GCGGACGUCGGGGCGGCGGCGGCGGUGGGAGGGAGGGGGCGAGGUGGUCCGGGAUGGAGGGGGCGGGAGGGGCGGGGAGGCGGCGCGGGAAGUCGGCGGGGAAAGUCGGGGGGUCAACCGUGGGAUGCCGGGGGAGACGGGCGGGCUCGAGUACGGAAGAGGGGAGUGGAAUGCCUGGGGUAGCGGUGAAAGGCGCAGAUAUCAGGAGGAACACCGAUUGCGAAGGCAGCUCGCUGGGACGUUACUGACGCUGAGACGCGAAAGCGUGGGGAGCAAACAGGAUUAGAUACCCGGGUAGUC
rnacentral:rRNA from 1 species